AACAAUUUGGCAUUUGGUCAUUGUCAAGGUGAAAUUAUUACGGAGUAAGUGGUAGUAGAAAAUAUUCGAAGAGAAGUUGACGACAUAGAUCUGACGAUAAAGAGAAUCCAGCAAAAGAAAGAUCGAGAAAGAAAAAACAGAGAGAAAAAGAGAGAAGAUGAAAAAAUAAUAUUUUAAUAGUUUUAUUUGCCUCUCUGAUCAUUUAUUCUAUCCUUUUUAGUGGCAUGGCUAUUUUUUGUAUAUUCUCUAAAUCA
rnacentral:sRNA from 1 species